GCUGGCGACCGGCGCACGGGUGAGUAACACGUAUCCAACCUACCCUUUACUCGGGGAUAGCCUUUCGAAAGAAAGAUUAAUACCCGAUAGGCAUAAUGAUUCCGCAUGGUUUUCAUUAUUAAAGGAUUCCGGUAAAGGAUGGGGAUGCGUUCCAUUAGGUUGUUGGUGGGGUAACGGCCCACCCAAGCCUUCGAUGGAUAGGGGUUCUGAGAGGAAGGUCCCCCACAUUGGAACUGAGACACGGUCCAAACUCCUACGGGAGGCAGCAUG
rnacentral:rRNA from 1 species